AUGAUACAAAAAAAAAAAUGAAUUGUAGUUCAUUUCUUCCUAAGUUCAUCUACUAUUUCCAUAUAUCUCGGUGAGAAUCUUGUUGUUGCUCAGGACAUUAGCCUCCAGUUCAAAAGUCCUGGCCAUCAGCUUGUCAAUGAGGGCAUGCAUCUUUUGCUGGAAUAUCUCCAGCUUCUUCCUCAAGGGCAUCUCCUCCUCCUCGGAGGAUGCCCUUUCCCCAGUUUGGAUGCUUGGAUCUCUGGACUCCAUUUUACAAUUACAAUUAUCUGAGAUUGUUUAAGAUAAUUGAAUUUGAUUCAAAUGGUUAAUGGUUCCCUUUAUUUAUAGGCAUGAAUGUUAACUCUUCG
rnacentral:lncRNA from 1 species